rnacentral:lncRNA from 1 species
AUGUUCAACCGGUGCAUAAUUACUAAGGGAUCAAUUUCCGACAUGUUCACUGGCAUCUAGGCAAAGACAUCUGUGUUUUUCUGUAAGAAAGAAAUUAGCUGGUUUUUCAUUACCUGAUCCAGAUUUGAUCCAAUCUAGAUCAUAUGCUUCUAGUUUCCAUCCAUCAAAGGGAUGGAAAUGAGGUCCUUAACUAGUUCUCCACUCUCCUCGGCC